AAAACAGCCGAUGUUGUCCAACUUCCUCUUCCCCCGAAACGGCUGAGUCGUUCUCUGGCUCCUCUACCUUCCCCCAAUCGCAAUCACCUGGAGACGCCACACCACGCCUUCCUCUCCGCCUCAACACCCACGACCCGAACCCCAACGCAUCCGCCCACUCCCGACGCCCGCUCACUGGCCCGUCAGUUCGCGGGCCUCUCAACACCCACCGCGGCGCCACGCCGACUUAUAUACCAGCGAGUGUGGGCGGGGACGGGGGUUCGGUCCGCGCUGGGCCCCCCCAGCUUCUGCCAAUGAGGAAGAAGCGAGUCUACGCCGUUUUCCCGGGGAGAUGCGCCGCCCGGUCUCCCUGCCAGCGGAGUGCUGGGCCGAGGACAGGGCGGCAGGGGUGACAGUGGGGUCCAGGAGAGUCUCAAAAUCCUAAGCUUUCAGUAUUUGUUAUUGUGAAAGAAGUUAAUUCACCUGAAACAGAGGAGGGGCAACCUGAGUUAUCAGAAAGUGACUUCCUGGCCUUCCCUUCUUUACUGAUCAGAGGCACACAAAGCGUAGUUUCUAAGCUGAAUGAUGACAACGUUGCAGAAUAAAGAAGAAUGUGGAAAGGGACCAAAGAGAAUCUUUGCCCCACCUGCACAAAAAUCUUACAGCCUGUUACCUUGUAGCCCUAACUCCCCUAAGGAGGAGACCCCGGGGAUCAGUUCCCCAGAGACAGAGGCCAGGAUAAGCCUGCCAAAGGCCAGUUUAAAGAAGAAAGAGGAAAAAGCAACCAUGAAGAAUGUUCCAAGCAGGGAACAGGAGAAAAAAAGAAAGGCACAAAUCAACAAGCAAGCAGAGAAGAAAGAAAAGGAAAAAUCAAGUCUUACCAAUGCAGAAUUUGAGGAGAUUGUCCAGAUUGUUCUGCAGAAGUCCCUUCAGGAGUGCUUGGGUAUGGCAUGUAGUAAGAGAAAAAGGGUUUCAGUUAAGCAGUGACUGUUACCUGAGAGGGAGAGUUAAGUCUGACAGCUUCUCUCUUUCUCUCCCAUCUUCUAAAUAAGGUAAUAUUAGAUGAGACUUCAACAUAUUUUAAAAAUACUUCAUCAUCUGUCAACAGGACUAUAGCUAAACCACCUUAGAUAAAGGGUACAUAUUUUUAGAAAAAGUGGAUUACAUUGACUUCAGAAUUUAUAUAUAGUCUUAACUAAAUUUUCAAGCCAUUAUGGGAUUUUUGUUGUUAUUUAUUUACUUAUUUAUUAUUUUUUUUUUUUUGAGAUGGAAUCUUGUUCUGUCACCCAGGCUGGAGGGCAGUGAUAUGAUCUCAGCUCAC
rnacentral:lncRNA from 1 species